rnacentral:rRNA from 1 species
CUCGGAGUUUGAUCCUGGCUCAGGAUGAACGCUAGCGGCAGGCUUAACACAUGCAAGUCGAGGGGUAUAGUUCUUCGGAGCUAGAGACCGGCGCACGGGUGCGUAACGCGUAUGCAAUCUACCUUUUACAGAGGGAUAGCCCAGAGAAAUUUGGAUUAAUACCUCAUAGUAUGCAGAGUUGGCAUCAACACUGCAUUAAAGUCACAACGGUAAAGAUGAGCAUGCGUCCCAUUAGCUUGUUGGUAAGGUAACGGCUUACCAAGGCAACGAUGGGU